rnacentral:rRNA from 1 species
UACGUAGGUGGCAAGCGUUGUCCGGAAUUAUUGGGCGUAAAGCGCGCGCAGGCGGUUCCUUAAGUCUGAUGUGAAAGCCCACGGCUCAACCGUGGAGGGUCAUUGGAAACGGGGGGACUUGAGUACAGAAGAGGAAAGCGGAAUUCCACGUGUAGCGGUGAAAUGCGUAGAGAUGUGGAGGAACACCAGUGGCGAAGGCGGCUUUCUGGUCUGUAACUGACGCUGAGGCGCGAAAGCGUGGGGAGCAAACAGG